CAGACGACCUGUGGUAUCGUACAAAACGUGGGCUCGGCCAGUUCGAAGUCGAAUUCCACUCGCCUCCUCCCUGCGGCUGUAGCACACACGCGACCACCGCCGACUCCGCCUAGAUCCCGACGGGAGGCGGCGAUGGAGGUCCAUGGCAGCCCCCAAGGUUCACUCAGCUCCUCCUAAGGCCUAGAUUGGCCGGGGCUAGAUCUGGAGGACGCAAUCCAGACGGAAGACGUGCAGCAGCCCAAGCUGGAGCGUCGAGUCUGGGAGAUCUGGAAGCAGCGGCGGAUUUCACGGAGAUUUCCUCCGAUCUGAUGGAGUUGGAUCGAACUGCAGCAAGGAGUGACGAGCGGUCUCGCGUGGCAGCAGGUCGAGUGCUUGGAGAAGUUCGUCGCCGGCAACGCCAUGGACACCAGUCGUGCGUACACCUGGCCUCUGCGAUGCCCUGCGUUGAGGACGCCUCCACCGCCAUCCAUCCAAGUGGAUCUGGCUCCAUAUACAACAGCUUGCUGAAUCAGCUUAUUAUGAGCUUCGGUUCUCUGUUUAGGAGGAUGAUAUAUGUAAUUUCAUGUGUUCCGCAAAGAGGCAGUAUACACAAAACAGCAAGAUACCUUUAGAAGCGAUGCAAUCAGGUGCCAGUGGAAUCCUGUUGGUCUACUACGAGCUCCUUGUGCGGCUUACUUUUUAGGCAAACUUUGUUUUCUAAGAUGGGCUUGUAACCCCAGUCUCGUUCUGCCCCUUUUGUUUCAACUAUGCAGAAAAUUAUCUCUGCCUUUUGUACACUCAUAAAAAUUCGGUGUGUGCACAUAUUAAAACUACAAAAAAUUGUUGGCCACGAAAAAGAUAUAGGAUAUCUCAAGUACUUUACGAUCGACCUAGUGCACGGUAUGGCUGGCGUUGUAAGGACCGCAUAACUAUUUUUGACCACCAGGAUAUGAGUAAUACAUUCAUGGGUGACUUGUUAAA